UUGACGGGCCCCGCACAAGCAGCGGAGCGUGUGGUUUAAUUCGAUGUUACACGAAGAACCUUACCAGGGUUUGACAUGCAAGUGGUAGGAAGCCGAAAGGUGACCGACCCUUCGGGGAGCUUGCACAGGUGCUGCAUGGCUGUCGUCAGCUCGUGUCGUGAGACGUUCGGUUAAGUCCGCUAACGAGCGCAACCCUCGCUGUGUGUUAUAUGUGUCACACGGGACUGCCGGUCUUAAGCCGGAGGAAGGUGGGGAUGAUGUCAAGUCAGCAUGGCCUUUAUAUCCUGGGCUACACACACGCUACAAUGGCCAACACAAUAGGUUGCUAAGCCGCGAGGUGGCGCCAAUCCAUAAAGUUGGUCUCAGUUCAGAUUGUAGGCUGCAACCCGCCUGCAUGAAGAUGGAGUUGCUAGUAACCGCAGGUCAGCUAUACUGCGGUGAAUACGUUCCCGGGGCUU
rnacentral:rRNA from 1 species